GUAGUCGUGGCCGAGUGGUUAAGGCGAUGGACUUGAAAUCCAUUGGGGUCUCCCCACGCAGGUUCGAAUCCUGCCGACUACG
rfam:Danio rerio chromosome 4, GRCz11 reference primary assembly.